GCGGGUGUAGUUUAGUGGUAAAAUCACAGCUUCCCAAGCUGUUGUCGCGAGUUCGAUUCUCGUCACCCGCU
rnacentral:tRNA from 3 species